UUGCAGGACAUUUGGCUGCAGGAAUAAUUUUGGCAGUUCCAGGUUAACCAAUUCCCUCCGUGCUUUUGUGCUGCCACGCACUGACCAUGCUAGCUGCGGAGCAGAAGGGUAAAAGCUCACUUGAUCUUGAUUUUCAGCACGAAUACAGACCGUGAAAGCGGGGCCUCACGAUCCUUCUGGCUUUUCAGGUUUUAAGCAGGAG
rnacentral:ncRNA from 1 species